rnacentral:snRNA from 1 species
GCUGCUAAACAAUAAUGAGAAGAUUAGCAUGGCCCCUGAGCAAGGAUGACAUACACAUUUGUGAAGGAUUCCAUCAAACU